rnacentral:rRNA from 1 species
UACAGAGGGUGCGAGCGUUAAUCGGAAUUACUGGGCGUAAAGGGCGCGUAGGCGGUCCCUCAAGUCAGGCGUGAAAGCCCCGGGCUCAACCUGGGAACCGCGCUUGAGACUGAUGGGCUAGAGUUCGGGAGAGGAUGGUGGAAUUCCCAGUGUAGAGGUGAAAUUCGUAGAUAUUGGGAAGAACACCGAUGGCGAAGGCAGCCAUCUGGACCGACACUGACGCUGAGGCGCGAAAGCGUGGGGAGCAAACAGG